GCACUGGUAGCUCAGUUGGAUAGAGCGCAGGCUUGCGAAGUCUGAGGCCAGAGGUUCAAGUCCUCUUCAGUGCACCA
rnacentral:tRNA from 1 species